rnacentral:rRNA from 1 species
UGCGCAGGCGGCGCCGCAAGUCGAGUGUGAAAUCCCCGAGCUUAACUUGGGAAUUGCGCUCGAAACUACGGUGCUGGAGUAUGGCAGAGGGAGGUGGAAUUCCACGUGUAGCGGUGAAAUGCGUAGAGAUGUGGAGGAACACCGAUGGCGAAGGCAGCCUCCUGGGCCAAUACUGACGCUCAUGCACGAAAGCGUGGGGAGCAAACA